rnacentral:rRNA from 1 species
UACGUAGGGGGCAAGCGUUGUCCGGAUUUAUUGGGCGUAAAGAGCGUGUAGGCGGCCGUACAGGUCAGCUGUGAAAACUCGAGGCUCAACCUCGAGACGUCGGUUGAAACCGUACGGCUAGAGUCCGGAAGAGGAGAGUGGAAUUCCCGGUGUAGCGGUGAAAUGCGCAGAUAUCAGGAAGAACACCCGUGGCUAAGGCGGCUCUCUAGUACGGUACUGACGCUGAGACGCGAAAGCAUGGGGAGCGAACAGG